rnacentral:misc_RNA from 1 species
GGUGGUCAAUUCUUGUAUCAACACUGCAUGGUUGCAUGCAAUAUGUUCAUUAACUCCAACCAGGGACGGAGCAACUGUGUAAAUCAAUAUCUUAUUCUGUGCCUUUUUUUCUUUGAUAGAACAGUUAAAAUGCCGAAUUCCUGAUGUAUUUAUACGUAUAUAUGAACACGUCUCCGGGUUGGUUAAAUCUCUAGGGUUGGAGACUAGGGAGUGAGGAGGGUGGAAUCAUCUGAGAAAUGUAAAGGUAUUCACUACCAACCAACCAGCUAGCGUAGGAAUCUCCCUGUGGCGGGCCGGGUCCAUCGGGUGCGCGUCUACACAGCCUUCAACCUGUGGCGCGCCCAGUUGUAACCUGUACUUGGAGAUGGAUAGAGUGUCUGUGAACCGCUCCUUGAACUAGUGAACCAUGUUGGACAGGUCGGCCGUCCAGUUGGUCGGGGACCAUGUGAAGCACAUCUCAGUUGGAAAUGUUGCAGUGGCGGAACUCUCUGCAGUUGGGUUUCAGAGAGAUGAUGUUGAUAUUAAUAUUUUGAGCCCAGCCAAGGUUCCUGUAGCGUACAGGUUAUCUGAAGAAAAUGGCCUGUUCAAGAUUGAAUUUACUCCGACCGAUGUCGGAUCCUUUAUCAUGGACGUUUAUGUCACGGGUCAGAAGAUACCAGACUCUCCGAUCUUCUUCAAGGCCUACGACUCUGGUUUGAUCCAGGUUUCCGAUGUCGGAAGCGGGAUUGUCGGUCAACCUUGCCAGUUUAGGGUUGACGCAAGCCAGGCAGGAGAGGGUCAGCUUGAGAUAUCUAUUAAUGACGGAGAAGUUCCGAACCAUGUUCAGGUUCUGGGCGGAGGAAAAUGUUUGGUUCAUUUUACUCCGGAGACUCCUAAACCUCACACCAUUGAUAUCAGGUUUAACGGAGAAGCAGUCCCAGACUGUCCGUUUGUUUGUCGUGUUUCCGAUACCAGUCAGGUUACUGUACAGCUACAGCACCUGGAGCUAAUGCCUGUCGGGGAGGCGGCCCUGUUCCAUAUCCAGGUUGAUACUACAGACAACGCGGAGCUGGCUGUCUCCGUCCAGGGUCCCAGGACAGAUCUUCCUGUCAAGGUUUCCGGAAACGUGAAGAACGGAUUUACAGCGGAGUUUCUACCGGAAGAAGUUGGACCUUACACCGUGUGUGUCGAGUACAAUGGGAUCCCGGUGGGAGGAACUCCGUUCGUGGGGAAAGCGUUCGAUUCCUCGAACGUCUUGGUUUCUCAUGUACCAUGGGGAACCAUAGGCAAGAGUUUACAGUUUACAGUAGACGCGAGCAAAGCGGGAGAAGGAAAUCUUGAGAUUACAAUUUCAGCGCGGGGGAGAAACAUUCCAACACAGGUUCAUCCGCAAGGAUCUGCCAGGUUUGCGGUAAGUUUUGUCCCUCUGGAAGCUAUUGAUCAUGUGAUCAAUAUUACGUUUAACAAAGAACCAGUCCCUGGGGCUCCGUUUACAGCCAAGAUCCACACAGAUCCGAACCAUAUUGUUGUGUCUGGACAGUGUCUGGCCGCUACUGCCGUUGGAAAACCAAGUUUCUUUACUCUCUCUAACGUGAGCGGAAGCCUUGAAGAUAUUGUGAUAGAAAUAGAUUCUCCACUAGGAGAAGAGGUUUCAGCUACAGUUCAAGAUCUAGGAUCAGGAUCCUUCAAAGCCGAGUUCUCUCCCAAGAUCGCUGGAGAACAUCAAAUAUAUAUUUCAUUCCGAGACGAGCAGGUUCCAGGUUCUCCUUUCGCCUGCAAGGUUUAUGAUGUCUCCGCUAUCAAGGUUCGAGAGUGUAUUAAAGGGAUUGUGGGGAAACCUGUCACUUUCCUGGUUGAAACCUCGCAUGCUGGACCUGGAAACCUGGAGGUUACUGUAAACAACGGACAGGUUCCAACCAGUGCUCAAGCUCAGGGUAAUCAUACAUAUGCUAUCUCAUUCAACCCAAAAGAAGCAAAACCUCACAUUGUAGAACUCAAGUUUAACGGAGAAAGCGUUCCCGGAAGUCCGUUCAAGUGCCUGGUGGUGGAUGCAGCGAAGGUCAACCUAUCCGGAGAAGGGUUGGAGAAAGUACCUGUUAGUAAACAAACCUCCUUCAUGAUCUCCGGUCAGGGAGAUAUGGGAGAUCCAGAGGUUAAAAUCCUCUCCCCCUUGAAGGAUGUUGUAACCAGUAGUAUCCGUUGUAUCGGAGAAGGACAGUAUGAAGUAGAUUAUUCUCCAGAUACUGUUGGAGAUCACCAGGUUGAAGUUAAAAUGGCUGGACUCCAUGUUCAGGGCUCACCCUUCAUUGUAAAGGCCUACGACGCCUCCAUGGUGCUUGUGACGGAUAUCCAAUCUGGAUCCGUUGGCAAACCAGUCUACUUCUCCAUAGACGCAUCUCAAGCUGGAGCAGGAAACCUUGAAAUAAUUGUAUCUGUCAACGGUAGAAACGUGCCCAACUACGUCCAAUCAGAAGGAAAUGCCAAAUUCAAGGUCAAUUUCAAGCCGCAGGAAAAUUCUCCCCAUUAUCUCAGCGUAAAAUUCAAUAAUGAACCUGUUCCAAACUCUCCGUUUGAGUGUAGAAUCAUAGAUAGCCAGCAGCUGGUCGUGAGUGGACCCGGAGUAAAGAUGUGUCCUGUCUCACUUCCAGCCAAGGUUAAUAUCACAUCAACUGCUGGGAAUUGUAAAGAUUGCCUAAUCAAGGUGCAUUCUCCUGGUGGAGAUGUUCUUCAUAUUACAACCCUGCUCAAUGAGAAGAAUAAUGCUAACUAUGAGUAUAUUCCUGCUGAGGUGGGAGCACAUCAUGUUCAUGUAGUUCUAGACGGUCUCCCAGUCCUAGGCUCACCCUUUACCUGUAAUGUUUACGACGUAGGACGUGUUAUUGUCACAGGAUUAGAAGGUUCUCACGCUAUCGGUACUCCAGUUACAUUUACAGUAGACGCAAGCCAGGCUGGAGAAGGUACCCUGGAGCUGGUUGUUACAACUGGUAAAUCCUCUGUACGUGCCGAGGUCGCUGCCCGAAGCCGUGGCCUCUACGAAGUAACUUUUGUUCCUCAAGAGGCUAUCCCCCACUUUGUAAAUAUAACCUUUAAUGAUGAAGGAAUCCCUAAUAAUCCGUUCCAGUGUAUGAUUAUAGCCAAGAAGGUGUCUGCAGUACAGAAAAGUCCUAAGAAAUCUGAAACUAGUACAACCGUAGCCCGUGGAGACGGUCUCCAGCAAGCAGUAUUUAAUAGUAAAACCAUAUUUGAUAUAGACACUGGUGGGUUGGAUACAGCUCCAGUAGUUAGAAUCUCCGAUCCUUAUAGUUUCAGUGUCUCCUCCUACCUUACAGAAACUAGACCAGGACUUUACAGAGCUGAGUUUACUCCGACUAAACUUGGAACUCAUAGUAUAUCUAUUAACAUCGGAGAUCGACCCAUCCAGGGUUCACCCUUCAAAUCUGAAGUGUUUGACCCCGCUAGCGUUAAAGUUACCGAUGUUGGGGCAGCUGUUAUUGGUAGUGAGUGUAGUUUAACAGUUGAUGUUUCUAAUGCUGGACACGGAGCUCUCUCCGUAGCCGUCAGAACUUCCGGACAAGAGGUUAAACACAGUAUUCGAGAUCUCUCCAGGGGACUGUAUCAGGUUCUAUACUACCCGGAGUUAGCUACAACCCACAAGGUUGAGAUCAAAUAUAAUGGUUUAUCCGUCCCAGAUUCUCCGGUUGUAUUAAAUGCUAAAAACCCAGUGACUGGUAAGGAGCCUACUGCUAUUGGUCUAGGCCUAUACCAAGCUAGGGUUGAGAAACAAACUUCAUUUAUCAUUGAAACCCUCGGACAGACAGCGCAAGCCUUUGAUAUAUUUGUAACUGGACCCAGUAACGUCAUCCCACCUAACGAAGCAAUUCCAGUUCGUUGCUACCAGCAGAAGGAUAAGAACCUGUUGGUAGAGUUUAAACCUCUCUCCUCUGGAGCUCAUAAGAUUGAGGUUCUUCACAACCGUGAACAUGUCUCUGGGUCCCCCUUCGUAUGCCAGGUGUUUGAUCCCAACAGGGUGCUUAUUAUCGGAGCUGAGGAUAGGAACGCAACCGUCGGAGAACCCGUUCAGUUCCAACUGGAUCGGAAGGAUGCUGGGUUCGCCGAGCUCAAUGUGGUUGCAGUAUCUCCUCUGGGUCAGGAUCUUCCCAUCGAUGUUAAAGGAGUACCUGGAGGAGAAGGAGACCUGAUUGAGUUUACACCUGGAGUAGUUGGUAGAUACAAGCUGGAGCUGACCUACGGCGGAGAAACUGUACCUGGAUCUCCUUUGAUCUAUAUAGUCCAGGAGGAUCGGUCUCCGACUGUAUUCGGGAAAGGUUUGACCCUAGGACAGGUUCGGGAUGUUUGUCUCUUCAAGAUUGAUGGACGUGGUAUGCAGGGCGAGCCACGCGUUGAGAUUACUGGAAAGUGCAGGACGGUUCUCCAGGAGGAUAAGGAUGAACCGGGACUCUUUAUUGUUAAGUAUAUCCCGGAGGAGGUUGGACACACAGGAAUACAUAUUUUCUGGAACGAGGUUGAGAUUCCAGGGUCUCCUUUCCAGGCUAGGAUCUGUGAUGCUAGUGCGGUUCUACCCCUCUCCGGGUGGGCCAAUCUACUGGACAAAGAAGGACGGAUGGAUAUGGUGGUGGGAGAAGAGAAACUGAUCACAUGGGACGUGAGUAAGGCUGGUCCUGGUAGCAUGGAUAUAGAGAUCCAAGGACCAAAAUACGAUCACAGGCUAGACAACGCAGGACCUGGCAGGAUUAAAUUCGUCUUUAUUCCGCGUAAAGAAGGAACGUUUAACCUCAACACUAAAUGGAACGGUGUUCCAGUAAGAACGAUGCAUGUAACGGUACGUGGUGGAAAAUUGACCGGGCGUGUGGUCCUGACCGGAAAAGGUCUGGUGACCGCAAUCUGCGGAGAGGAGAGCGUGUUUGUAAUUGACGGAUCCGAGGGAGGGGAGGGGGAACCUGACGUUAAACUCUCCGGUAUUGACUCCGCUAUUCAUGUUUCCUGUAAGAGAGUGGCGCAUAAUGUGUGGGAAGCCGCCUAUACCCCCGUCAGAUCCGGAACCUAUUUGUUGAAUGUUACCUGGGCCGGGAGAUUAGUAAAGGAAUGUCCCCUGAAGGUGGUCGUUGAACCACCAUCUAACGCAUCCCGUGUUGUGUGCAGUGGAGACGGACUGCGGGCUGGAACUCUAGGAAAAGAGAUCAAGUGCUCUAUAGACACCCGGAGCGCUGGUCAUGACGAAUUGACGAUUAAAUGCGAGGGUCCUCACGGAAAGAAAGCUCUCUCAGAACUAAAUGAUCAUAGAGACGGACGCUUUACUCUCUACAUCAGACCUCAGGAGGUUGGGCGACACAAUUUGAAUAUCCAGUAUGGAGGAAACCAUGUUCCUGGUUCUCCGUUCCAGCUCCGGGUAUCCUCUGCACCUGAUCCCGGCAAGGUUCGAGUCUACGGACCCGGAGUAGAACACGGAGUACUGGCAAGAUAUCAAUCCCGGUUUAUUUGUGACACGCGAGGAGCUGGCGCCGGUCAACUCACAGUACGGAUUAGAGGGCCAAAAGGAGCUUUCCGUGUUGAAAUGCAGCGUGAGUCUCAGAAGGAUCGAACUAUUCUUUGUAAAUAUGAACCAACAGAACCUGGAGAUUAUAGGAUAGAGGUUCGGUGGAGUGGAGAGCAUGUUCCUGGAUCUCCCUUUGUUGUUAUGAUCUUUGAUACAGAGGAGGAGCUAAACCGGUUUCUUCAGGGCGGUUACUCCCCUGCAGGAGUUCAAGGUCCUCCUGGAGAUUUCUACGGCAGUAUAGGCCACCAUUACUCUCCCUACGGACCUGUAGGUUUCCCAGCUGGUACACUUAGCUGGCGAGGAAGCCAGGCGAAUAUUCAUUAGUACCUCCUCAACCCUUCCAGGACGAGUCUUCCGCCCUAUCCCACCUAGAACCCGGAGAAGUAAAUCCUCCCUAUCCCAACUAAAUCCCGGAGAAGUUAAUUCUUCCAAUCCUACCUAGAACCCGGAGAAGUAAAUCCUACCUAUCCCAUUUAGAACCCGGAGAAGUAAAUCCUCCCUAUCCCACCUAGAACCUGGAGAAGUAAAUCCUACCUAUCCUGCCUGGAACCCGGAGAAGUAAAUCUCUAUCAUGUUUUUAUAUUCCAACCUCUCUCUUAAUUAUAUUUUGACUAAAGUCGGAUAGUAUCUCCGAACCUUUUUAAUAAUUUGUUUUGCUCAAAGUUGUUUUUUAUAUAUAAAUUUGUUUAACAUCUACCUUGAUAUGUUUUUAAAUAGAUUUACAAUUUUAUAAAAAUUGCAUAAGUGCUCCUUGUUGUUUUAUAAAGUUCAAAUAUUAGAUAUUUUGUAAAUAUUAAGUAGAAAUAAAUAUUAUUUGUUUAU